rnacentral:rRNA from 1 species
AGAGUGAACGCUGGCGGUAGGCCUAACACAUGCAAGUCGAACGGCAGCACGGUAAGAGCUUGCUCUUAUGGGUGGCGAGUGGCGGACGGGUGAGGAAUACAUCGGAAUCUACCUUUUGGUGGGGGAUAACGUAGGGAAACUUACGCUAAUACCGCAUACGCCCGUUCGGGGGAAAGCCGGGGACCAGCAAUGGCCUGGCGCUGAUAGAUGAGCCGAUGUCGGAUUAGCUAGUUGGUGAGG